rnacentral:rRNA from 1 species
CCUACGGGUGGCAGCAGUGAGGAAUAUUGGUCAAUGGACGAGAGUCUGAACCAGCCAAGUAGUGUGAAGGAUGACUGCCCUAUGGGUUGUAAACUUCUUUUAUAUGGGAAUAAAACGUUCCAAGUGUGGGAUCUUGUAUGUACGAUAUGAAUAAGGAACGGCUAACUCCGUGCCAGCAGACGAGGUAAUACGGAGGAUCAGAGCGUUAUCCGGGUUUAUUGGGUUUAAAGGGAGCGUAGGUGGAUUGUUAAGUCAGUUGUGAAAGUUUGCGGCUCAACCGUAAAAUUGCAGUUGAAACUGGCAGUCGUGAGUACAGUAGAGGUGGGUGGAAUUCGAGGUGGAGCGGUGAAAUGCGUAGAUAUCACGAAGAACUCCUGUUGCGAAGGCAGUUCACUGGACUGCAGCUGACACUGAGGCUCGAAAGUAUGGGUAGCAAACAGGAUUAGAUACCCCAGUAGUC